UUAAGCGACUAAGCGUACACGGUGGAUGCCCUGGCAGUCAGAGGCGAUGAAGGACGUGCUAAUCUGCGAAAAGCGUCGGUAAGGUGAUAUGAACCGUUAUAGCCGGCGAUGUCCGAAUGGGGAAACCCAGUGCAAUUCGUUGCACUAUCGUUAACUGAAUACAUAGGUUAACGAGGCGAACCGGGGGAACUGAAACAUCUAAGUACCCCGAGGAAAAGAAAUCAACCGAGAUUCCCCCAGUAGCGGCGAGCGAACGGGGAGCAGCCCAGAGUCUGAAUCAGCUUGUGUGUUAGUGGAACGGUCUGGAAAGUCCGACGGUACAGGGUGAUAGUCCCGUACACCAAAAUGCACAGGCUGUGAACUCGAAGAGUAGGGCGGGACACGUGGUAUCCUGUCUGAAUAUGGGGGGACCAUCCUCCAAGGCUAAAUACUCCUGACUGACCGAUAGUGAACCAGUACCGUGAGGGAAAGGCGAAAAGAACCCCGGCGAGGGGAGUGAAAAAGAACCUGAAACCGUGUACGUACAAGCAGUGGGAGCACCUUCGGGUGUGACUGCGUACCUUUUGUAUAAUGGGUCAGCGACUUAUAUUCUGUAGCAAGGUUAACCGUAUAGGGGAGCCGCAGGGAAACCGAGUCUUAACUGGGCGUUAAGUUGCAGGGUAUAGACCCGAAACCCGGUGAUCUAGCCAUGGGCAGGUUGAAGGUUGGGUAACACUAACUGGAGGACCGAACCGACUAAUGUUGAAAAAUUAGCGGAUGACUUGUGGCUGGGGGUGAAAGGCCAAUCAAACCGGGAGAUAGCUGGUUCUCCCCGAAAGCUAUUUAGGUAGCGCCUCGUGAAUUCAUCUUCGGGGGUAGAGCACUGUUUCGGCUAGGGGGUCAUCCCGACUUACCAACCCGAUGCAAACUACGAAUACCGAAGAAUGUUAUCACGGGAGACACACGGCGGGUGCUAACGUCCGUCGUGAAGAGGGAAACAACCCAGACCGCCAGCUAAGGUCCCAAAGUCAUGGUUAAGUGGGAAACGAUGUGGGAAGGCACAGACAGCCAGGAUGUUGGCUUAGAAGCAGCCAUCAUUUAAAGAAAGCGUAAUAGCUCACUGGUCGAGUCGGCCUGCGCGGAAGAUGUAACGGGGCUAAACCAUGCACCGAAGCUGCGGCAGCGACACUAUGUGUUGUUGGGUAGGGGAGCGUUCUGUAAGCCUGCGAAGGUGACCUGUGAGGGUUGCUGGAGGUAUCAGAAGUGCGAAUGCUGACAUAAGUAACGAUAAAGCGGGUGAAAAGCCCGCUCGCCGAAAGACCAAGGGUUCCUGUCCAACGUUAAUCGGGGCAGGGUGAGUCGACCCCUAAGGCGAGGCCGAAAGGCGUAGUCGAUGGGAAACAGGUUAAUAUUCCUGUACUUGGUGUUACUGCGAAGGGGGGACGGAGAAGGCUAUGUUAGCCGGGCGACGGUUGUCCCGGUUUAAGCAUGUAGGCUGGUUAUCCAGGCAAAUCCGGAUAAUCAAGGCUGAGGUGUGAUGACGAGGCACUACGGUGCUGAAGUAACAAAUGCCCUGCUUCCAGGAAAAGCCUCUAAGCAUCAGGUAACAUCAAAUCGUACCCCAAACCGACACAGGUGGUCAGGUAGAGAAUACCAAGGCGCUUGAGAGAACUCGGGUGAAGGAACUAGGCAAAAUGGUGCCGUAACUUCGGGAGAAGGCACGCUGGUGUGUAGGUGAAGUCCCUGCGGAUGGAGCUGAGACCAGUCGAAGAUACCAGCUGGCUGCAACUGUUUAUUAAAAACACAGCACUGUGCAAACACGAAAGUGGACGUAUACGGUGUGACGCCUGCCCGGUGCCGGAAGGUUAAUUGAUGGGGUUAUCCGUAAGGAGAAGCUCUUGAUCGAAGCCCCGGUAAACGGCGGCCGUAACUAUAACGGUCCUAAGGUAGCGAAAUUCCUUGUCGGGUAAGUUCCGACCUGCACGAAUGGCGUAAUGAUGGCCAGGCUGUCUCCACCCGAGACUCAGUGAAAUUGAACUCGCUGUGAAGAUGCAGUGUACCCGCGGCAAGACGGAAAGACCCCGUGAACCUUUACUAUAGCUUGACACUGAACAUUGAGCCUUGAUGUGUAGGAUAGGUGGGAGGCUUUGAAGCGUGGACGCCAGUCUGCGUGGAGCCAACCUUGAAAUACCACCCUUUAAUGUUUGAUGUUCUAACGUUGGCCCCUUACCGGGGUUGCGGACAGUGUCUGGUGGGUAGUUUGACUGGGGCGGUCUCCUCCCAAAGCGUAACGGAGGAGCACGAAGGUUAGCUAAUCCUGGUCGGACAUCAGGAGGUUAGUGCAAUGGCAUAAGCUAGCUUGACUGCGAGCGUGACGGCGCGAGCAGGUGCGAAAGCAGGUCAUAGUGAUCCGGUGGUUCUGAAUGGAAGGGCCAUCGCUCAACGGAUAAAAGGUACUCCGGGGAUAACAGGCUGAUACCGCCCAAGAGUUCAUAUCGACGGCGGUGUUUGGCACCUCGAUGUCGGCUCAUCACAUCCUGGGGCUGAAGUAGGUCCCAAGGGUAUGGCUGUUCGCCAUUUAAAGUGGUACGCGAGCUGGGUUUAGAACGUCGUGAGACAGUUCGGUCCCUAUCUGCCGUGGGCGCUGGAGAAUUGAGGGGGGCUGCUCCUAGUACGAGAGGACCGGAGUGGACGCAUCACUGGUGUUCGGGUUGUCAUGCCAAUGGCACUGCCCGGUAGCUAAAUGCGGAAGAGAUAAGUGCUGAAAGCAUCUAAGCACGAAACUUGCCCCGAGAUGAGUUCUCCCUGAGACUUUAAGUCUCCUGAAGGAACGUUAAAGACGAUGACGUUGAUAGGCCGGGUGUGUAAGCGCAGCGAUGCGUUGAGCUAACCGGUACUAAUGAACCGUGAGGCUUAACCU
rnacentral:rRNA from 1 species